AAAAAUCUCCCACAGAAAAUUUCACCACCAUUACUAUACUGACACGUGUCAGUUACUCCACGAACUGCGAAUAAAACCUCGGGUAAGGCCUAAUAAGCAAAAUCGAGUAAUCCACUGUCUCACACUCUCUCUCUCUCUCUCUCUCUCUCUCUCUCUCAAAAGUCCGUUUUUCUGCCUUUUGUUUCUCGCAGCGCUGCGAAUCCUGCCACGAAGGAAAAUCUGAAGGAAAAAACGAUCUGGAAAUCGAAAUCCAGGCCUCUAAUUUUCCCCUUCUAGCGAUUAUCCAUCAGAUUCUCUCUGGAACGGUACAAAUCCCACCUAUUUCCACGAAAAAUCCACUUUCGCUGCAGUGAUCUAGGGUAUUUUCGCAAAAUCCCCGUCGAAUCCUCCUCCUCCAUCCUUGAUCUGUGUAAAUAAGUGCGGAAUUCCGUUGUUUGGAUUUUCUAGGGUUUCAGAUGAGGAUAUGGACUGGAAUUUCAUGUCUUAGUGGCGUUUAGGGUUUUUGUUUUCCUUUUGGGGGGCGAAUUGUCUGAAAUGCAGACUAAGGAAGGGCAGAGUAAUGGAAUUUCUCAGUCCUUUUCAGACGAUUUGGUCAGUGAGAGAGCAAUCCAUUCGACUAUGAUGACUUCGUUGAUUCUUCUGUUGGCUCCAUCAUCCGGUGUCAAUCACAUCGAGCACCGCGUCUCGAAGAUGGAUACGUUGUCUGGCGUUGCUAUAAAGUAUGGAGUCAAGGUCUUUGUGGCCUUAUCAAUAGGUUGGAUGGCAAAUAAACAUUCUGGUGGCGCUCAACAAGUUUUUAUUGACAGGUAAUUCAAUCACAAUUUCAUGUGGUGUGGUCCACUUUAGAUAUGAAGAUACUUCAUUUUUUCAAUCAUGCCCUAAAAUGAGCUGUCAAAACAGAUGGACUGGAGAUGUAGGGAAAAUAUAUCACUGUUGGCCCCACAGUUAGGGAUCCACUGAAGCUGCACCCAAUUAGCUGGAACCACACUCUCUCCUUACUUUGCUCUUGUAUUUAGUUGCUCUAUAUGAUAGGUGUGGCAUUGUCCUUUUAGUUGGGUGUUGGAGGGGUGGAUAUACAGACUUUUAUUUUUUGAAAUCAGAUAUUAUAUUUCCAUCCAUAUAAAAAGCCAACUCCAAAUUGCUGGGAGAAAGGCUAAGAUGAUGAUGGAUAACACGAGGAUGUGAAAAUCUUCGAUGAUUAAUUAUCGGAGUUAAAUUGUACAAAUGUAAUUGAAUUACAUAGCAUUUUUCCUUUAAAAAUACUCUCUCUCUGUUGCACUUGAACAACUCUUACUUUUGUUGCAAUAUUGAUAUAUUAGUGGU